GAUGAACGCUGGCGGCGUGCCUAAUACAUGCAAGUCGAGCGAACAGACGAGGAGCUUGCUCCUCUGACGUUAGCGGCGGACGGGUGAGUAACACGUGGAUAACCUACCUAUAAGACUGGGAUAACUUCGGGACACCGGCGCUAAUACCGGAUAAUAUAUUGAACCGCAUGGUUCAAUAGUGAAAGACGGUUUUGCUGUCACUUCUAGAUGGAUCCGCGCCGCAUUAGCUAGUUGGUAAGGUAACGGCUUACCAAGGCGACGAUGCGUAGCCGACCGGAGAGGGUGAUCGGCCACACUGGAACGGAGACACGGUCCAGACUCCUACGGGAGGCAGCAGUAGGGAAUCUUCCGCAAUGGGCGAAAGCCUGACGGAGCAACGCCGCGUGAGUGAUGAAGGUCUUCGGAUCGUAAAACUCUGUUAUUAGGGAAGAACAAAUGUGUAAGUAACUAGGCACGUCUGUACGGUACCUAAUCAGAAAGCCACGGCUAACUACGUG
rnacentral:rRNA from 1 species